AUUUUAAAGAACAUACUUUAAGAAACAGAUUAUAUUAGAUUUAUAUUUUAAAUAUGACAAAAUGCUCAUACAGCAGUAAAAUUAUUGUAUCUCUACAGUUUAAACAUUUAAUAAACUUUCUGCCUGUAGAGAGUGGAUAGUCAAACAUACAUUAUUUUAUAUUUAUUAUUUAUUUUUGUAUUCUUUUUACUUUAUUAUUAUAGCACUAGGAAUAAAUAAUAAGGGAAGGAUUCUGGAUCAGCUCCAUGAUGGAAACUUGUGGCCAUAGUAUAUACAGUAUUCUGAAGAAGGUCUAAAAUGUCACUGUGCGUGUGUGUGUUUUAUGUAUAUAGAUUUUUUUUAAAUUAUUUCUCAUGAUAUAACACAGUCCAGACAUGCCUCUUAAGGAUGUUUCUAUAACAUUUUCUAUCAUUACUUUAUUAUGGAUUAGGUGUGAGAGUUUUUAAGUUUGGACAGUUAAAUAAUAGAUUAAUGCAAUAGCAAAUUGUGUCUUGUUCUCAGAUGGACAGCAAGUGGAGAGUGAUAGAUGAGAUGAGGAGAUGGAAGGAGGAAGAGAGGCAGAACAUGCCUGGUAAAGACAUGAGGAGGAACAGUGACAAAAGGAGCUGUGUGAGGCUACUAAAGGCAGUGGAUCCCUCACCAGCUGGAUUACAAAGAGCACAGAUGUGCGGAGUGUAGAGAGAUGGGACCCAAGUCCAGAUGCUGACGAUGAACUUAACUGUGAGUGAACCUUUAUUAGCGGCAGGGACAGAAUAUAAAAUGCAGAAAGUGGCAAAGACUAAACUAAAGAAAAACCUAAACUGGGAGGCAACUACAAAAGCAAUACAAAGGAACUAAAAACAUGAAAACCUGAGACUCUGGAACAUGGAGAAAUGCAGCGGGCAAUACCCAGACGACCCAUCAACAAACAGAGGAAGAAAAAGGGCUUAAAUACACAGAGGGAUAAUGAGGGAAUGAGACACAGGAAGAGAGCACAGCUGGGAGAAAUCACACUAACAUAGCACAUGAGACUGUCAAAGUAAAACAGGAAACAUGAGACAGGCACAGACAUGAACACAUAACUCGAUUAGAUGUGACACAAGGAACACAGGGAAAGCAGAGACACAGAAACCAAGAGACUAGAAAUUAUAAAUAACAAUGAAAUCCAAGACUACAAAUAUUUCAAAACAGGAAACACUGGGUCACCGACCCAGGACUGUGACAAUGUCAGCAUGUUGCAGGGUGUUUGUUACAUACUCAAUUUCCAGGACCAAAACCCCAAUACAAGAAGUCUGGUUUGGCUUUCUGUUUAAAAAAAGUCAUAAUAUUUGAUCCUAUGGGUCUUAACCAACUAGCAAUGCAAAGCUUAGAUGGACCCUGAGGGGACUCACCUAGUUUUAAGUCCAGGUGUCUUCCCUGCCACCUCUGUUACACCAGCUCCCCUCACGAGCUGCUUUUGGAAUACCUGGUUUAAUUUUAGGGGCCUGGACAGUAGCCCUCAAGGGUCAAUUUGGACCUCCUCAGCUUUACUGCUGCUAAAUUGCUUUAAUAAAAUUUCCUGCAAUGAAAGUCUAAAUUGUGGACAUUCCCUUUUUAACUCUUUGUAAAAUGGUAAACGUAAAUACUGAGUAUUAACUCAUUUUAGUGUAAAUCACUCUUACGGGUUACUCCAGCCCUUUAUCGUAACCGACCAUUGCCAAAAAGAUACUAAAAAGAUACAAAACCAAUUUGUAAUUUUACAGUUUGGGCAAUGGUUGAUCCUCUGGAAUCUCUGCUGGAAUAUCCAGCGGUGAACUUCUGAGAUCUUCUGAACUGCUCAUAUUACAGAAGACAAAGAGAAGAACAAAGGAUGUUCCUGGGCGCUCUCCUUUAUACUCUGCCAAGUGCCCAUUUCCCAUCUCUCUUCGUAUCUAAACAUUCAGUCAUCUUGUUUACAUAAGAUCAUCCGAAGUAUAGCCACACCCUUAUCAUCCUCCCAUCUGACAUUUCCACAUAAAUUCAGAGAUCAGUGACUCCUGUGUGUCGCUCUCACUCACUUCCCCCCCUUCCACAAACAUAAUCCUAUUUUUCAAGGCUGUUUUCUACACAUUCUCUCAGUUAGGCCUGUCUUGGAAUCAUUAUUUUAUUUUCUUAUGCUUUAUAUUGGUUAAACUUAAACACACCUGUAUUUAGUAUACUUGAUUAUAUUCUGAUCUGUUCUGCUUAUCCUUCUGGGAUAAGCAGAACAGAUGCGGGGCUAACACAGAGAAACAGACACCCAUUCACAAUUUAUCACAAUUAAUCACCAGGUAAACUAACCCCACUAACUGCAUGUAUUUGGACUGUGAGAGGAAGCCGGGGUACUUGGAGAGAAUCCACACAGGGAGAACAUCAGUGCUAACCACUACGCCACUGUGCUGCUAUUCUGAUCAUUAUUAAACAUAACUAACCAUGAGCAAAAUCACAUAUGAAUUAUGGUUCUCUCUUCGAUAAUUGCAACACUUAACAACAAUUCUCUUAUUCAAAAUCAUAUAUGAUGAUAGGUUGGAGACUCAUUUCUUAUCUCUUCACAUUCCAUUUAACAUAUUGAUCAAACUUUUAUUUUAUCUUUAAUUAAGAAUAAAGAUGAUUAGCAAAAGCACACAAAGCACACUUUUUACUCUCUCUCAGAUGUAAUGAGAGGUAAACCAGGGAGACUUCUCUUCUCUCUAUCUUCACCACCUUUCUCGACAAUACACCAAGGGUAUUGUGGGUAUUUGUACAGUAAAUGUAAUUCUUGUAAUUCUGUUGCCUGGAAAGCAUUUACAUACAUUUAUGUGAUGCGGCACAGAAGUUGCACAGAAAUCUCUGAAAAUCAGAUAAUUAAAAGAAACCACAGCUUCGAGCUUCAGGCUUGACAUAAUUUAAUCAUUCCUGACAGAUGACAGUGUAAAAGAACAUCUUGACUCAGUUUGGCAUUUCACGCAACCUCCGUGAAAUAUGUCAGUAAGCGAUACUAUAAUUGAAAAGUGAAGUAUUGCAGUUAUCUUACUCACUGUUAGUACUGUGUGCUGUGGGUUGGAAAAUAGAAGCAAGAGCUGAGGUGGGAGGGGAGAGAGGUUCACCCUGCAAAGGUUUCCAGUGUGUUGUAGGGCUAACACACAGAGACAGAAAACCAUUCCCUUUUAAAAACCCAUUUAUAAUCACCUAUUAAUAUCACAUUAAUUGUGUCAAUCAACAUCAUUUCAUUAAGAUCACAAGCAUAUCUUUGAAUUGUGGGAGAAAAUACAAACUGCACAGAAUCCCCAGCCAACCAGGAAGUUUGAAUCCCGAACCUUCAUUCAGCAAGAAAAACAUUCUAACCACUGCACCACUCUGAUCUCAGCCCAAACACUACAGAGGCAACUAUGCUAAAACAGCUUGUCAAACACUGCCCCCUAAUGCCCCCUUUGAGACACUUGGAUAGUCAUACAUGUCAUAGUUGUUCAAGGAAAAACACCAAACUGCUGACUUGUCACACACCAGAGGACCACCAGAAGCACCCUGUGAGGAGGAAAUAUAAUUUAAUUUAUGCCAUUUUUAUGAUGGUUAGAUCACAUUUUAAAUGAAAACAUUAAAAUGUUACCUGACACAUUCCUUUCUUUGCUUCAAGCAGUUCUUAUCCUGUCUCUUCCAUGUAUCGUUGAUUAAUAUGGGAUAACUUAAACUUCAGCUUAGUAAGGUUCUGUACCUCAUAUAUUACCAUGAGCAUUAUCUCAGAAUGCUGU